AUACCAAUCUGGAUAAUCGCUCUCCUAAAUUCCGAUUUCUCGGAAUAAAGGAGGGAGGAAAGUCCGCACUCCAAAAUCAUGUACUUUCUUGUACAUGAGGAAAGUGGCACCAGGAAUAAAUCCUUUACCUUAUGGUACGGGAACUAAGCUGGGUAGAUGUAAAUUUACGGUACAGAGCAACAGAGAGGAAACCGUCAUGAAGUAGACUAGUUUACUUCAUGGUAAGGCUGAAAGGGUGUGGUAAGAGCACACCGUCACGUGAAGUAAUUUACGUGAGCAAGGUAAUCCCUGCCUGGAGCAACCCCGUUUUACGGGGGCAUAGACAAAUGAUUAUCUCAACCCUGUAAAACGGGGGGAUACAGAAUGCGGCUUAUGGAUUGGUUAAUAA
rnacentral:RNase_P_RNA from 1 species